GCAUUGGUGAUUUAAUGGUAGAAUUCUUGCCUUUCAUGUGAGAGGCUCAAGUUUGAUUUGUGGCUAAUGCA
rnacentral:tRNA from 1 species